UACAGAGGUCUCAAGCGUUGUUCGGAUUCAUUGGGCGUAAAGGGUGCGUAGGUGGCAUGGUAAGUUGAAGGUGAAAUCUCGGAGCUCAACUCCGAAACUGCCUUCAAUACUGCUGUGCUUGAGAGCUGUAGAGGAGAAUGGAAUUCACGGUGUAGCAGUGAAAUGCGUAGAUAUCGUGAGGAAGACCAGUGGCGAAGGCGAUUCUCUGGGCAGUUUCUGACACUGAGGCACGAAGGCUAGGGGAGCAAACGGG
rnacentral:rRNA from 1 species